rnacentral:lncRNA from 1 species
CCCGGCCGGCGGAGGUAGGUGCGAGGGCUGGGGGAGAGGGGCUGGGGUCUUCCCGGGGUGGUUCGUGGCGGGGUUUGGGGCAGAAAGGGGUGGGAAGCGUGCCCCGAGCAUGGGGACGUGCAGCAGCACGGUGACACGGAGCUGGUCACCGUUUGUCCCCAGGGGAAGGGGCUGUGGGGGAGAGGGGCUGAGGAUAAAGGAGGUGAGGGGAGAAGGGAGCACGGCGCGGCUCCUGCGCGCCCCACGGCACCCCCCCAGCCCUGCACGGAGCCGCCCGUGCGCGGCACGGAGAGGGGCACGUGGCGAGGCCGAGCUUUGGCUCUUCUCGAGGCCACUUCGGGCCCUUCCCAGCCCUGGAGCAGCCUCAGCCCUGCCCUGGAGCCCAGCAGCGCCCGGCUGCUGUUUGCUCAGGUUGGGGCCGUGCCCUUUUGCUUUGUCAGCUUCUUCCCUGCCCCCUUCCGUGCGUUUUCGGGUGCAAGACGCGGCCGGGCGCGCCGCAGCCGCCGGUCCCCUCGGUGCUGCGCGGAGGCAGAGCCGAGCUCCCGGUCCCACGGCUCCGGGACCCAGCGGGACCCCGCUCCUGGAUGAGCCCCGUGACUCAGAGAUGCCUCCCGUAACCCAAACGGCCCCGGCUGCUUCCACCCCCUCCAGCAUCUGGUCGGGAUUAAUUUUGUUUUGCCGAGCGUUGGCGGCACCCGGCCGAGCCCGGGCGCUGGGCGCACGCAGAGCCCGAGCUCACACGCACGUGCCCGGGGUCCCCGUCCCCUCUGGGCACAGUUUUGUGUUUCCCCAUCUCCUCCCUCUCCCCUCACCGAGUUUUAGAGGUUCUUGGGGUCCCUCUUGGGGUUUUUCUCCGGGUCCCUUCACACCGAGCGGGUUCCUGGGGAGGAGGGAGGCGAGGAGCUUAUGGGGCAGCACGGGGGGAGCGUGGGACCCCCGUGAAGGCUUCACCUCAGCCUCUUCCUCUCUGCGUGCCAGGGACCGGCGGCCCCAUGGACCACGAGCGUCCCCUCUUCGUCACCUUCAGACCCGAGGACAACGCAGCCAGCACCCAGCCGGGGCCCGGCGCGGCCCCGAGAGCGGAGCAGCCCCCGGAGCAGCCCCCAGAUGCUCAGGGCAGGGUAGGACGAGGGGCAGUGAAGGGUCCGGCCCCCCAGCUCCCCACCCCAGCACUCUCAGCCACCCGCAGGUACCGUGCCCCCACCCCAAAAGCCCUGCAGGGACCGUCCAGCACCGCGCAGCGACCCAGCCCCAAUCCCAUCCCACUCCCCCCACGGGCUGGGGACUGGGACUGGGGGGCUGGCACCAGCC